rnacentral:rRNA from 1 species
CUUCACCCCUGUGACUUACCUUAUUAUUCUCCGGCGGAACGCCCCGGUGCCUUCGGGGCCGGACCAGGCGCCCGCCGGGGAGCAAACAAACUGUAUUUGUCUCCUGUAUACCUCAGAAUUAGGCGUAAAGCCGAAAUGUAUAACAACUUUUGACAAUGGAUCUCUUGGCACUAGCAUCGAUGAAGAACGCAGCGAAAUGCGAUAAGUAAUGUGAAUUGCAGAGCACAGUGAAUCAUCGAAUCUUUGAACGCACAUGGCGCCCGCCGGUAAUCCGGUGGGCAUGCCUGUCCGAGCGUCAUUUCAACCCUCAGAACCCCUUCGGGGCGUUACUGGUGUUGGGGAUCGAGAGCUUCGGCUCCCGUCCCUUAAAUCUAUUGGCGGCUCCGGAGUCUGUCUCCCCUGCGUAGUAUUGCAUCUCGCUUUGGUGACUUCCCCGGGCUGCUGUGGCUCUGCCACGAAACCCCCACUAGGUUGACCUCGGAUCAGGUAGGGAUACCCGCUGAACUUAAGCAUAUCAAUAAGCGGAGGAA